rnacentral:miRNA from 1 species
UGGGGUCAUAUAAAUGUGUGUGUGUGUGUGUGUGUGUGUGUAUAUAUAUAUACACACACACACACACAUACAUACACACACACACACACAUA